GGCUUGAUGAAUAUAAUUUUAGGUCGAUCUGCCCAAUGAUUAUUUAAUUGAAUGGCUGCAGUAUAAUUAACUGUACAAAGGUAGCAUAAUAAAUUGUUUUUUAAUUGAAAACUGGAAUGAAAGAAUUAAUGAAAUAUAUACUGUCUCGUAUAUAUAUAUUAUGAAUUUAAAAUUUUAGUAAAAAUGCUAAGAUAUUUUUAUGGGACGAUAAGACCCUAUAGAAUUUUAUAUUAAUAUAAAAUUAAUACUAAUUUUAUUUAAUAUUUGAUUGGGAGGAUUAAUAAAUUUAUAAAACUUUAUUUAAAAUUUUAACUUUAAUUUAAGAAUAAUUUUAAAGAUCUUAUAAUAUAAAUUAAAAGAAAAAAUUACCUUAGGGAUAACAGCGUAAUAUCUUUUUUAAGAUCAGAUUAAUAAAGAUGAUUGCGACCUCGAUGUUGAAUUAAGAUAAAUUUUAAAUGUAGAAGUUUAAUGAUUAAGUCUGUUCGACUUUUAAAAUCUUACAUGAUUUGAGUUCAAAUCGACGUGAGU
rnacentral:rRNA from 1 species